UACAGAGGUCCCAAGCGUUGUUCGGAUUCACUGGGCGUAAAGGGUGCGUAGAUGGCCUGAUAAGUUAGCAGUGGGAAAUCGAGGCUCAACCUCGUGGAAGCUGGUAAUACUGUCAGGCUCGAGUGCAGGAGAGGUUAACGGAACUCCAUGUGGAGCGGUAAAAUGUGUAGAUAUAUGGAAGAACACCAAUAACGGCGAAGGCAGUUAACUAUUCUGUUACUGACAUUGAGGCACGAAAGCGUGGGGAGCAAAACGG
rnacentral:rRNA from 1 species